rnacentral:lncRNA from 1 species
UUUUUUUUUUUUUUUUUUUUUUUUUAGUACUGGAAGUCCUAUCAGAGAACUCAGACAAUAUAAGGAAAUAUAAAGAAAUAAAAAGCAUCCAAAUAAAUAAGAAAGAAGUGAAAUUUUCACUAUUUGCAGAUGACAUAAUACUGUAUAUAGGAAACCUAAAAGACUCCACCAAAAAAACCCUCCCAGGACUGAUAAAUGAAUUCAGUAAAAUAUCAGGAUACAAAAUCAAUGUACAGAAAUCUAUUGCAUUUGUAUUUCUAUACACUAAUAAUGAAGCAGCAGAAGUGAAAAUUUAAAAAUACCAUUUACAAUUAUACCCAAAAUAAUGAAAUACCUAGGAAUAAACUUAACCAAGGAGGCAAAAGACCUCAACUCUGAAAACUAUAAAACAUUGAUGAAAAAAAUUGAGAUGGACACAAAGAAAUGGAAAGACAUUUCAUGCUUAUAGAUUGGAUGACCAAACACUGUUAAAAUCUCUAUAAUACCUAAAGCAAUCUACUGAUGUAAUGCAAUCUCUAUCAAAAUACCAACAGUAUUUUUCACAGAACUAAAACAAACCAAUCCUAAAAUUUGUAUUGAAUCACUAAAGACCCCAAAUAGCUGAAGCAAUCUUGAAAAACAAAACUUGGAGGCAUCACAAUUCCAGACUUCAAGUUACAUUACAGUCAUAGUAAUCAAAGCAGUACAGCACAGAAACAGACAUAGAUCAAUGGAACAGAAUAAAAGGCCCAGAAAUAAACCCACAAUUAUAUGAUCAAUUUAUCUUUUUUUAAAGAUUUUAUUUAUUUAUUAAUGAGAGACAGAGAGAUAGAGAGAGAGGCAGAGACACAGGCAGAGGGAGAAGCAGGUUCCAUGCAGGGAGCCUGAUGUGGGACUCGAUCCCUGGACUGCAGGAUCAUGCCCUGGGUGGAAGGCAGGCGCUAAACCACUGAGCUGCCCUCAAUUUAUCUUUGACAAAGGAAGCAAGAAUAUGCAAUGAGAAAAAGUCUCUCGAACAAAUGGUAUUUGGAAGACUGGACACAGCUACAUACAAAAUAAUGAAACUGGACCACUUUCAACAUACACAAAAAUAAACUCAAAAUGGAUUAAGGACCUAAGUAUGAGACCUAAAGCCAUAAAAAUCCAAGAAGGCACAGGCCAUAGCCUCUUUGACAUCAGCCAUAGUACUCUCUUUCAAGAUAUGUCUUCUGAGGCAAGGGAAACAAAAGCAAAAAUAAGCUGUUGGAAUUACAUCAAAAUAAAAGACUUCUGUACAGCAAAGAAACAACCAACAAAGCUAAAAAACAGCCUACUGAAUGGGAGAAGAUAUUUUCAAAUGACAUAUCUAAUAAAAGAUUAGUAUCCAAAAUAUAUAAAUGACUUAUAUUAACUCAAUAGGAAAAAAAAUUCCAUUCAAAAGUAUGCAGAAGACAUGAAUAGGUACUUCUCCAAAGAAGACACAGUAGAUGGCCAAAGACACGUGAAAAGAUGACUAACAUCACUCAUGAUAAGAGAAAUGCAAAUCAAAACCACAAUGAAAUAUCACCUCACAUUUGUCAGAAUGGAUAAAAUCAAAAACAUAAGAAAUAAGAAGUGUUGGUGAGGAUGUGAAUAAAAAAGAACCCUCUUGCACUGUUGGUGGGAAUGUAAACUGUGCAGCCACUGUGGAAAACAGUAUAGAGAUUCCUCAAAAAGUUAGAAAUAGAACUACCCUACGAUCCAGUAUUUGCACUACUGGAUAUUUACCCAAAUACAGAAACACAAAUUAGUAGAGAUGCAUAUUCCCCUAUAUUUAUUUCAGCAUUAUUUACAAUAGCCAAAUUAUGGAAGCAGCCCAAGGGUCCAUAGAUUGAUAAAUGAAUAAGGAUGAGGUGGUUGUAUGUGUACACACAUACACACACAUAAAUAUAUAUAUACAUGUGCAUAUACAAUGGAAUAUUAUUCAGCUAUAAAAAAGAAAUAAAAUCUUGCCAUUUCCAAUGACAUGGAUGGAUCUAGAGUGUGUAAUGCUAAGAAAAAUAAGAUAGAGAAAGAAAAAUACCAAAUGAUUUCACUCGUAUGUGGAAUUUAAGAAACAAAUGAACAAAGAGAAAAAAGAAAAACCAAAAACUAGACUUUUAUCUAUAGGCAAAAAAAGGAAGGUUACAGAGGGGAAGUGGAUGGAGGGAUGAGUGAAAUAGGUGAAGGGGAUUAAGAGUACACUUACUGUGAUGAGUACUGAUAAAUACAUGGAAUUGUUGAAUCUCUAUAGAGAACAUCUGAAACAAAUAUAAUACUGUAAACUACACUGGAAUUGAAAUAAAAUCUAUAUAACAUAAACUUUACCAUGAACCAUUUUUAAGUGUAUAAUUCAGUGACAUAUGGUAUAUUCACAUUGUUAUGUGAAAGAUCUUUAGAAGAUUUUCAUCUUGCAACACUGAAAUGUGAUGCUCCUUAAACACAAAUUCCCUCAACAUCCAGACAGUUUUUAAUAUCUGUGUCUUGACCACCAAAAUUUCAGAAAACAAACAAUUGAACUUUCAUCUUUAAAAAUAUCAAGCAUAUUGGGAUGCCUGGGUGGCUCAGUGGUUGAGCAUCUGCCUUUGGCUCAGAGCGUGAUCCCGGGGUCCUGGGAUGGAGUCCAGUGUCGGGCUCCCUGUAGGGAGCCUGCUUCUCCCUCUGCCUCUCUGUCUCUCAUGAAUAAAUAAAUAAAAUCUUUAAAAAAUAUAUCAAGCAUAUAUAUUGAUAUGCUUUCAUAUUCCCUGGAUAUCUUUGAAAAGAUAAAUAGUUGCUUUGGGAAGAGAAUGGGGUAUGGGGGACAGGGUGGUAAAGGAGGCUUAUUUUUCAUGAUCUAUCCCUUCAUAGCUUUGGAAUUUUGUACUGUGUGCUUGCAUAUCCUAAUAAGAAAAAUUAAAGUAGCUGAGAAGAAAGAAAUUCAAGUCAUGGGCAUAACAGACCCCUGGUUAAAGGACAGAAAUUCAACUGAGUAUAUUCUAAGAUGUAAUUGGCUUUGUUGAAUGAUUCAUGAAUGAGGCAGCAUCUCAUCUAGUAACUAGAGGGGCUCCGAGGAUGCGUACAAAAUGGAAGAUUUUAGGCAAGAAAGUUUUUUUUUGUUUUGUUUUGUUUUUUGCAAGGAAGUUAUUAGUGAAAGACAAGGAUUGUUCUAGGCAAGUCUUUCUGUGAGGGGGAAAGGCGAGGGCUCUCAUCAUGCGGAUUGCCUCAUCAUUCUGGAGGUGGUGUAGGGCUGGAGAGGGCCCUGUGGUGGAUUCAUUGUCACUGUUAGAAAAACUCUUGACUGAUGAGUUGAGACUACAUUUCUGGGGGAGGUCGAAAUUGCAAUUAGAUUAUGUGGUAAGGCCCAGUUUUGAGACUGGUCUAAGUGACACCAUUCUGGGCCUAUGGUUUUCUUUUUAAUAUGAAAGUGGUCAAGGCAGUGAAAAUUUAGAUGAAUGAUAAAGGUUGAGGAAAGGACUCAGAAAUUGGCCACCUAUGCAGUGGGGAGGGAGGAUAGUCAAGGAGCGGAGUCCAUGGUGACCACAGACUUAGUCUGGGUUGUUGGGACAGUAUCGAAGCCAUUAACAGAAAUUGAAGUCAGGCAGGACAGCACUUUAUGGGGAUAGAUGGAGUCAGGUUUAAUUUCAGAUGACUUUGAGGUAACAGUGGGCCAUUACAGUAGAAAUGUCAAGUAUGCAAUUGGAAAUGGGUGACUGGAGCUCAUGAGGAGGUGACAUGAUUGUCACUAAUAGAGUCACAUAGCACCUUAGACCAGAGUGGAUGCACUGUCUGUCGGUGUGGAAAGGGGAUGGGAGGAGGUGGAGGGGAAGGCAGUGGUGGAUGUUCAGUCGUAAAAUGUAUAAUGUCAAAUAAGGCCAGGGAAAGUGGGAAGGACCAUCGUAAUCCUGGGCAAAGAGGCCCAGGAGGAUAACCAUGGAGGAAAGGCCACUGGAGUUCAAAGUUGGAGAUCAGUGUUCACAUUAAAGCACAGAAAACUUUUUCAUAGAAGCAUUUGAAGUAGAAUUUCCCUGGCUUACAAUGUUAAAAGCAAGCUACAAAAUCUCCAGCAGCCGUGGUUAAUUUUGUGGUUGGCAAGGCAAUGCAAAAAGAUUUCAGAGAAACACCAUUUUGAUUGAGCACAAUACCCUCCGCUUCUUUCUAGUGCCUCUCUCAUUCUGCAGCAGAACACACUGACUGCCAUUCUUCCACAAACACUUCCUGAGGCCUCCUGGGUGCCUGUGGGGCUCUGGGAAUACAAAGGUGGAGGUGGUGUGGUCUCCAGGCCUGCAGUAGCUCACAGCCUGCUGGGUCUGGAAAGCAAGUGAGCCUCCAGGCCCUGCUUGGUGGGACUGUAAAACACUGGUGUCAUGGGGCCUGAGUAAAUAGGGGGUAAAGACACUGCAUUUGCAGGUUUAGGUCUCCCUGUGCACGCCCCCCGCCCCCUUGCCCUUUGUGCAUUUGCUGCUGUAUUUUGAGUUCUCAACUGCCUUCUUUCCUUUGCCUUUGGCUUAUUUUUUUCUAAAACUGGUCUUUUCUUUUCAUCCUCUCACCAGCUCCAGCCACCUCUGGGGUACAUGCUACAGUCUUGUUCACCCUCCUGGCCCUCCCCAUGGAAAUCUUUCUGGAUUCUUCUUAUUGAGUACACUCCCUCGUGUUCUGUAGACUUUCUGCUAUAGUCAGUUCUUGGUAAUAUAUGAAUGAUGUCAUCAACUGAUCUCCAGAGGACAGUUGUUUGAGAGUGUUGGCUUCCCCAAGGUAGCUAAACUUGCCACAUAGUUUCUAGAUGAAGGACAAGAGUAUUAAAUGAGAUUAUAGAGUAUAAGAAGAUGUUUCAUAUUUGAUGUGCAGCUUAAGGAUGAAUAUUCAAAAUCCUAUUUUGAACUCAGUUAAUGAGAUUUCCUUAAAUAUUGUAAAUCAGUCAGAAUUCAUAUAAAUUUGGUAAACUUGAUUUUGUUUGUAUGCACUUCCAGUGCCAGACUGGUCGGUUCAUGACCUCAACAAGCAACAACUUCCCAAGAAAUUUUUAAACAAUCUUAUAAAUUAAAUACCUAAAAAUGUAAAUGUAGCAAAUCUCAGUUUAAAUAUUUCAGGAUUGUUUACAAAUUUAGUCAAAUUUUCUCACACCUUCCAACUUAAAAUCAUGUCUAAAAACCAACUGCACAUUUUAAAUUGGAAUCACAAGCUCAACUGUCAUAUAAUCUAAAAUGUCAAAUUGUCUGAAAAAUGACACUUUAAAUACACAGACUAUCUUUAACUCCAAAGUAUUGGUAGUAAGAGUUUCAUUUCAUUAUAAACUUUUCUGUUGUUAAAAAAUGAUUUCACACAUUACAUAAUCCCAGUCACAGGAUUAAAGGCUGAAUUCUGUAGUUACAGAAUAAUGUCAAAUUCUACACCAGACAACUUCAAUAGGGGUAAUGAAUUAUGAAACAAAAAAUGAUAGGUAAAUAUUUGUUCAUUUUCUUUCAAUUUUCAAUUUAAAGUGGAAAUCUAGUGUUGUCUAUGCUAAUCAAAUAGGCUGAGCAGAUGGAGCAAGACCCUAAUGAUGCAGUUAUCUUGAAGGAGCCCAGCUGAUGGAAGGCUCUCAAGGGACACCCAUGAUUUUUAUGACCUCGCUUAGGUAAUAAAAUGUCCUGCCUUUUAUUUGAGUCACUCAAUACAAUCUUAGUUCAACAAUUAGAAUGUCCCAUCCCAUACAAUAUCCACACUUCAAAUGUGUGACCUCUGUCCUCUCCCUCAUGGUGGCCUACUGUACCGGGAUGCAAUGUCUCCUUCUCAUGCUCUACUCCCUGCAAGAUGAAUGGCUGUGUCUAGACACAAGUCAGGUGUGGGGGAGGGGUUAUAAUAGGAUAGGCUUGCCUUGACCGGGCUUUGUGCUCCCUGGGCCAGCAGGGGGUUAAGCCAACUUGACAGAAGGUCAUGCAACUCUAUGUUGAUUGGCUACUUGCUCUUUCUGCAGUUCUUGGAAUCUGCGGAUGCUUUCAGUUUCUCCUGGCUAAGACCUAUUUGUGCUUCUGGGAAGCCUUAAACACCCCAUGCUGGCUUCCUGUCCUGUGUGGCUUGCCUUGCUUACUGGGAACAUUCAAACACCUGUAUCCAGACACAUCCUGAGAGCCCUCAUCUAUCUCCUUAUUCCUAUUCUUUCCACUUUCCCUGUAGGGGCUCUCCAGAACCUUCUGUAUUUCCCAAGGGAGAGGUACUAUGCUCGUGGGGGAGAGGCACAUAGCUAGCUUUCAGAGGGUCCUGUUGAAGUUUCAUUCAAGUGAGAGGCAACCCUCUACCUCUCUUCUUUGAGAAAAGGAGUGGGUCUCUCUUUUUAAAAAAAAUCCUUUAAAAAAAAAAAUCUCUUAGUCUCCAAUCUGACUUUCCAUACUCCUGAUCUGGAUGAGAGGUUCAAGAUCAGUGUAAUGAUAUCCAACCAUGUGAGUUGAGUAUCUCAUCUGGAAAGCUCCAUUCUAAGGAACUCUGCUGUAGAUUCUGUUUUACCUUUUAUUAUAUGGACCAGCUCAGUGAGCACUGUCAGGAAACAGCUUGCUUGCUUGCUUGCUUUCCUUUUCUUUCUUUUUUCCACCUUCACAUGGUUCCAGCCUCUUCCUCCCUCCUCCCCAGUGACAUCUCAGAUGCAUGGUUUCCCUGUUUUAUUUCUAAGAGCAGUCUCUUUUGUAGACAUUUAAAAAGUGGUCUAAGUCAGCAAUGCACUAUAAUUCCAGUUCUGGACCUGUCCCCCCUGCUAGCUGUAAGGAAGGGACCUAGCUGUCCUCUCACUCUUGCUCCAUCUUGCUCCCCCUGUUGCAGGCUCCUUAAAGGUGUGGGGAGGGCAGGGGCCAUAGAGAAGAAGGGGUAAAGCUCUCAAUGACAGAAGAUGCUGCAAUCAGGCCAGCAGGCACUUUUGAGUGCAUGAUGUGCAUUUCUGGGUUGUGAGAAGACUUUUAUAAGGACC